GCCAUAAAGCAAGGUUGGACUCGCGAAUCGUGUCAGGACCGGAAGGUAGCAGCACUAAGGAUGCUCCGGCUUGUGCUUUAUGUACAU
rnacentral:SRP_RNA from 2 species